AUCGGUUCCAUACUCAGCAAUGGUGUCAAGGGGAUCUACGACAUUCCCCAAUGAUUUCGACAUUUUUCUGCCUUGAGAAUCACGGAUUAGUCCAUGAAGAUAAACAUUUGAAAAGGGGACAGUCCCAGUAAACUCAAUUCCCAUCAUCACCAUUCGUGCCACCCAAAAGAACAGUAUGUCGUGCCCAGUUUCAAGAACUGAUGUUGGAUAAAACCGCUUAAAAUCCUCUGCUGACUCAUCUGGCCAUCCAAGUGUGCUGAAGGGCCACAAUGAACUUGAAAACCAGGUA
rnacentral:misc_RNA from 1 species